GUCAACAUACUACUGGAUUUUACACGGUUGUAUAAUUUUACUUCUAGGAUCUGAAUACUUAAUUCUUCCACCUCUGUUCAACUACCCUUUAACUCUACAAAUGCAGAUAGCUGCUUCCACAUCACACUUGAACGAUCUGUGGCUGUUGACACAACCAGUCACAUACGUGGCAUUCACCCAGCAAAAAUGUCAUACUAAUCCAUUUUCAGAGUACUCAGCAGUCAAACUGUACUUUGUCUGCAGUAUGCUUUCUCCCCGACAGCAAUGUCAUGCUGUGAGCGGGACCUCCAGUUCAGCUGCCAGCAGUGGAGGAGACGGGGAAUGGAAGGAGGUGGACGAGGAGGAAGAUCCACUCCCUCUCAUUAUCCUUUCUUCUCAUGGCAGCUUCACUUGCCCUGUGAGUCAGCUGUCAAUCACAGCCCAGGCAUCAAGUCAGUGGGGAGCCCAGAAUGUACGGUGCACUCAUCAAAUCUGCCAGCAGGCAGGUUGAAAACACCUAUUGAGCCCAGUGCCACAGCCAGUUGCAAUUAAAGUGCUGCUCUGCUGCGGAAAGAGGAAACGGGAGGCCACCUGAAGACGGUGAGAGGCAGAUAUAGCAGCUAGUUCGCACUGGGAGAAAGCUGUAAUUAACACCACUAGAUCUCAUCCCCUUGGUAGUGUAUUAUAUUAAGCGUCACAGUAUGGCAUGCUUGGUGAACAUUAAAGUGCCUGCAUUGUAAUGAC